rnacentral:lncRNA from 1 species
CAGACCCAGAAGAGAAGGGGAAGACUUUAAUAGUUGCACAUUUUCAAAGACUCGUACAUGUUCCUAUUCCCUUUUUUUUUUUUUUCUUUUUUUCGGAGCUGGGGACCGAACCCAGGGCCUUGCGCUUGCUAGGCAAGCACUCUACCACUGAGCUAAAUCCCCAACCCCCAUAUUCCUUUUAUAAUUAAAAAAAAUUAACUGGGUGGUGAUGGUCCAUGCCUUUAAUCCUGGCACUCUGGAGGCAGAGGCAGGGGAAUCUCUGUGAGCUCCAGGCCAGCCUGAUCUAUAGAUGGACUUCUGAGACUCAGGGCAGCACAGAGAAACCUUGUUUCAGGGAGGAAAAAAAAAAAGAA